rnacentral:rRNA from 1 species
UGAGUAAUACAUCGGAACGUGUCUUCUAGUGGGGGAUAACUGCCCGAAAGGGCAGCUAAUACCGCAUGAGACCUGAGGGUGAAAGCGGGGGAUCGCAAGACCUCGCGCUGGAAGAGCGGCCGAUGUCCGAUUAGCUAGUUGGUGAGGUAAAGGCUCACCAAGGCGACGAUCGGUAGCUGGUCUGAGGGGACGACCAGCCACACUGGGACUGAGACACGGCCCAG